rnacentral:rRNA from 1 species
UGAUCAUGGCUCAGAUUGAACACUGGCGGGAUGCUUUACACAUGCAAGUCGGGCGGCAGCACGGACUUCGGUCUGGUGGCGAAAAUUAGCGAACAGGAACGAAAUGGCAUGUAUCGAACGUGCUAGUAGCCAGGGAUAACUACGCGAAAGCGUAGCUAAUACCGCAUGCGCCUUCCCGAGGGGAAAGCGGGGACCUUCGGGCCUCGCACUAUUAGAACGGCCGAUAUCGGAUUAGUUGGUGGGGUAACGGCUCACCAGGCGACGAUCCGUAGCUGGUUUGAGAGGGACGACCAGCCACACUGGGACUGAGACACGGCCCAGACUCCUGCAGGAGGCAGCGGUAGGGAAUUUUGGACAAUGGAAACCUGAUCCAGCUUCAUCCCGCGUGUGCGAUGAAGGCCUUCGGGUUGUAAAGCACUUUUGGCAGAAGAAACGGCACGGGAUAAUACCCCGUGCAACUGACGGUACCUGCAGAAUAAGCACCGGCUAACUACGUGCCAGCAGCCGCGGUAAUACGUAGAGAUUGCAAGCGUUAAUCGGAAUUACUGGGCGUAAAGCGUGCGCAGGCGGUUCGGAAGAAAGAUGUGAAAUCCCAGAGCUUAACUUUAAUUCAUUUUUUAACUGCCGAGCUAGAGUGUGUCAGAGGGAGGUGGAAUUCCCGCGUGUAGCAGUGAAAUGCGUAGAUAUGCGGAGGAACACUGCCGAUGGCGGCAGCCUCCUGGGAUAACACUGACGCUCAUGCACAGCGUGGGAGCAAACAGGAUUAGAUACCCUGGUAGUCCACGCCCUAAACGAUGUCAACUAGCUGUUGGGGCCUUCGGGCCUUGGUAGGCGCAGCUAACGCGUGAAGUUGACCGCCUGGGAGUACGGUCGCAAGAUUAAAACUCAAAGGAAUUAAUGGGGACCCACAAGCGGUGGAUGAUUAAUGAAUUAAUUCGAUGCAACGCGAAAAACCUUACCUACCCCUUGACAUGUCUGGAAUCCCGAAGAGAUUUGGGAGUGCUCGCAAGAGAACCGGAACACAGGUGCUGCAUGGCUGUCGUCAGCUCGUGUCGUGAGAUGUUGGGUUAAGUCCCGCAACGAGCGCAACCCUUGUCAUUAGUUGCUACGAAAGGGCACUCUAAUAGAGACUGCCGGUGACAAACCGGAGGAAGGUGGGGAUGACGUCAAGUCCUCAUGGCCCUUAUGGGUAGGGCUUCACACGUCAUACAAUGGUCAGGACAGAGAAAGUCGCCAACCCGCGAGGGAGCCAAUCAAAACGAUCGCUAGUCGGAUGCAGUCUGUAACUGCGGCGUAAAGUGGAAUCGCUAGUAAUCCCAUGAAUCAGCAUGUCGCGAGUAAGAAUACGUUCGGGUCUUACCCGCCCGUCCUGUAGAGUGGGUUUUACCAGAAAGUAGUUAGCCUAACCGUAAGGGCGAUUACCACCGGUAAGUUCAUGACUGGGGUGAAGUCGCUUUCGGUAA